UACGUAGGGGGCUAGCGUUGUCCGGAAUCAUUGGGCGUAAAGAGCGUGUAGGCGGUCCGGUAAGUCCGCUGUGAAAGUCGGGGGCUCAACCCUCGAAUGCCGGUGGAUACUGUCGGGCUAGAGUCCGGAAGAGGCGAGUGGAAUUCCUGGUGUAGCGGUGAAAUGCGCAGAUAUCAGGAAGAACACCCGUGGCUAAGGCGGAUCUCUGGACAGUUACUGACACUGAGGCACGAAGGCCAGGGGAGCAAACGGG
rnacentral:rRNA from 1 species